CCUACCGUGAGGUAGGGUCUGAAGGAAGCCGAAGGAAAAAUUGCGGCCUGAUGAACAAGAACCCCCUUCUGACGCAGGAUUGCCACUUUAUCUUC
rfam:Thermosinus carboxydivorans Nor1 ctg44, whole genome shotgun sequence.